CUCCUUCGCCCUGUUGCCUAUUGCCCUUGAAGCCGAAACUUUCUUCUGUUUGUCUUCCACGGUUUUGUUAGCUUUGCUUGGUUGGCUUAAUGAAGGAGACUUGGACGCGGUCAUCUUCGGUUCCUGUUAUUCCACUUAAGUGAGUUUCGAGGUGGCUGAGUCGUUCUUGUGGUAGAAGCUUGGCAAAGGCAAUGCUUUGAAUGUGGAGCUCUUCCCAAGUGCUCCAGUACUCGCUCCCUCGGUUACAUUCUUCUGCAUCGAUAUGUAUGCUUAAGGUUGGUGCUUCUCCUGAAGGAGGGGUGAAACCUCAACAGCUUCUGCCUUUCCUUCCAUAUCUGCAUAGGAUUUGAAGAAGGAGAAUUUAUAAGAACUCCGGAUAUAUGCAAACAUCAUCUUUUUCAGUUUUUCCUUUCAAUUGAUUAGCUAUCUGCCAGGGACUCUGCGGGACACAUAAAUGAAAGAGGAACUGCUAUCGAUUGGACUAGCUAGCUAUAGCACAAUAUUCAGUGUUGAAGCAUUAUCCAUCUAGAAGCUUGAGUUCCAAGAAAAGGCAACCACUGAAAGAGACAGCUAAUCUCAACACCCCAACUUUGCUGAGACUAGAAAACUCUCGUUGGUAUACAAUCGGCGAGAUAGAAAAGCAGGAGACUAAAGUUAAGCAGCAGGAUACCUUGCGGCUCUCCGUUGAUCAUGUUUCCGGGUUCCAUGUUGUUCUUCACUGCUUGUUAAGUGACCAAGUAAGUGGGAUAACAAAUAAAUAUACCAGUUCUUCAGAUUCCGGUCAACUUGUUAAAUAAUAUAGUAUUGGUCCAACAACUGAUCACUGAUUAAUUUACUCGACCAAUUACGAGAUUUGGUAUCCCAAAAUUGCUGCAAAUGGAAGCAGGGGAAGAAAACUCACCAAAUCAAGCAUUCAAAACAACCAGGAGAUCGAGAUCCGGACACGGGAUCUCCUGAAAUGUCUUGAUUACAUAUGGAUGUAUGCGAAUUGGUUUACCGAUACCAUAUGGUACCCAGACCAGAACUAUAUCAUGGCCAAAAAGGCCGAAGCAGAAGAACCCGGUUGUUCCGCCUCAGUUCUUUGCCUUGUUCCCACACCGGGGCUAGCACUCAGCACGGUUGGGUUUGAUCUUGUACUAUUGACAAUGUUGUGCAUAAGGAAACCUGAACAUAACGGAAUUCAGUUUUUCUUUUUUUCAGCCCA